rnacentral:sRNA from 2 species
CCCCCUGGGAGUUUUCAGUCUAAGAUGAUGCUGACAUGGACAGACAUAAAGGAUAUUGAGACAACUGAACAAACAUUGAACAAGAACAUAAAGUACUAACAUUAUGCACAAGCAAAGGGGUCCAGUGGUUUACGUCUUGGAUCUUGCAGAUAGACUGAUCUCAAAAGCCUGUCCAUUUGCUGCAGCAGGAAUAAUGGUCGGCUCUAUCUAUUGGACAGCUGUGACUUAUGGAGCAGUGACAGUGAUGCAGGUUGUAGGUCAUAAAGAAGGUCUGGAUGUUAUGGAGAGAGCUGAUCCUUUAUUCCUUUUAAUUGGACUUCCUACU